rnacentral:snRNA from 1 species
GAUCAUGGUGUGGAUUUGACUGCCACAUCUAUCACCCAUUGCUCUCCAGAGUUCAUUCUGCUCAUCUGACUUGCUAGGUGAGAUCCUUUUUACCUCUCAGGUCUCCAUUAGCAUCUCCCCCAAAGCUCAAUCAAAAAGGAUGACUUUCCCUUAUGGAGAAGAAGUCAUCUGCAAUCAAGGGCACUGAAGCUGCUGAAUUCCCUGGUUAUAAAUACAAAACUAGUUCUGCUUGGUGGUGGUGGUGGGGGAGGGUAAAUAAUUUUCUUUAAUUUGCUAUAUCCAUCUUUCUAU